UCGCCCCCCUCAUAGCCGCCCCUCACCGCCGGCCGCCCCGCGGGCUCUGCCCGGCUCCUCGGUGUUUGUAGCUCGGCUCCUUUGCGGGAAACGUGCAGAAACACAAAGAUCUGGCGUGAAUUCUUGCUGCCUAUAAGGUAGAAGAUGAGUAAACAGAGGAGUGACCCCAGAGCACUGUCAGAGGAGGAAUUCCCAAUUACAUAAAUCUCUUCUAAGCUACUGGAUUAAUGCAAACACUGACAGGGUGAACAGGGGACAGAGCCUGAUGGAUCCAAACAAAUGCAGCAGGAAGGAGAACAAGAAGAUCCAAGACUAGAAAAGUUGUUUUAAAAGUUGUAAUUUAUUAAAUAUACCUCCUAAUGUAGAAUUAAAGUAAUUUUUUUUUUGCCUUUGGACCAUAAGCGAUAUUUUGGUUCUAGAUAAUUCUCUACAUUUUAAAAUGCUGCUGACUGUCUUACUGCCCCCUCUGAAAGGCAUUCAAAUAUUUUUCCUGGAGGGAAAAAGAAUAAUUAUGUAACCUCUCCUAAUAAAGUUUUCUUUAAAAAAAAAAAAAGUAGACAAAUAAUCCUGCACACUGGAAAUCCACUAAAUGUGUACUGAACUGAACCAGCAGUUCAAGUACUGCACAAAAAUUAAACAAUUUGCUUCAAAAUACAUAGUUCUCCCCACUGAUUUAAAAUUGAUGGAUGGUUUCAAUAUUCAGCCUAAACUUCCUUGUGUCCCAGUUUUUCACAUGCAGAACUUGAAGAUGCAUGGCAUAUAAAAAGCUUUUUUUCAUGUUAAGAAGUUAAUGAUAUCUAAUUUCAGAUGCUGAUUUGGUUUGAACAAGGCCUCAGUCAUGUCCUCAGAAACUUUUGAUGCAUUUCCAGAGAACUUCAGCACUAAUUAACUUUGAGACCUUACAAAGUAAUCUGCAAUAAGUGUAUUGGGCAGGAAGCUGGAUUAUGAACCAGUAGGCACCAUCUUCUCUGGAUAAAUUCAAAUUUGCAGGACAAGCUUGUGAAAGAUAAAGAAGUUUCAUCUGAGAAUUUAUUCUUGUCUCACUGACCUUUCCAAGACUGCCUCAGAAUUAUUUUUUUAGAGCCUAAGAACUCCCAGCCUGUUCUUUUUUUUUUUGUGCUAAUACUUUCCUUGUAACAGAACUAUUUAUAUAUUUAUUUUAGUGAAGAAAGCAGUGCAUCAGCCAUUCUGCUUUUCCAUCCAAAUAAAUGAAGUAGCAUCUCCAAGGAAUGAGCAUUGCUUUCUUCGUAAAAUACAUACUGAAUUUUUUUAGAGUGGAAUGAAAAAGUUUUAUUUGGAAAUGUACGAAGACUACAUCUAUUAGUGCAUCUUUCUGAUGAAGAGAAUUUGGCUGGUAUAUAUUUAAUAGGGCACAGAAGAAUUAAAAUGCAUUAUCUACAAUGUUUUGGGCAAGUAAUUAGGACAA